rnacentral:rRNA from 1 species
GACAGAGGGGGCAAGCGUUGCUCGGAAUUACUGGGCGUAAAGGGCGCGUAGGCGGAAUGGCAAGUCGGUCGUGAAAUCCUUCGGCUCAACCGAAGAACGUCGAUCGAAACUGCCGUUCUUGAGGAUUGCAGAGGAGACUGGAAUUCCUGGUGUAGCGGUGAAAUGCGCAGAUAUCAGGAGGAACACCGAUGGCGAAGGCAGCUCGCUGGGACGGUACUGACGCUGAGGCGCGAAAGCGUGGGGAGCAAACAGG